rnacentral:rRNA from 1 species
AUUGAACGCUGGCGGCAUGCUUUACACAUGCAAGUCGAACGGCAGCGCGGGCUUCGGCCUGGCGGCGAGUGGCGAACGGGUGAGUAAUGCAUCGGAACGUGCCCAGUAGUGGGGGAUAGCCCGGCGAAAGCCGGAUUAAUACCGCAUACGACCUGAGGGUGAAAGCGGGGGACCGAAAGGCCUCGCGCUAUUGGAGCGGCCGAUGUCGGAUUAGCUAGUUGGUGGGGUAAAGGCUUACCAAGGCGACGAUCCGUAGCUGGUCUGAGAGGACGACCAGCCACACUGGGACUGAGACACGGCCCAGACUCCUACGGGAGGCAGCAGUGGGGAAUUUUGGACAAAGGGGGCAAACCUGAUCCAGCCAUGCCGCGUGCGGGAAGAAGGCCUUCGGGUUGUAAACCGCUUUUGUUCGGGAAGAAAUCCUCUGGGCUAAUACCCCGGGGGGAUGACGGUACCGGAAGAAUAAGCACCGGCUAACUACGUG